rfam:Plicaturopsis crispa FD-325 SS-3 unplaced genomic scaffold PLICRscaffold_2, whole genome shotgun sequence.
UCCCUCUUAGCUCAGUUGGUAGAGCGCGUCACUAGUAAAUAUACGACAUGACGAGGUCAGUCGUUCAAAUCGGCUAGAGGGAA